CUGGCCGGAAUAAUUCAUGAAGAAGGGGCUGGAUCCGUGGGUCAGAGAACACAGGACCAGUUUGCCAUCCCAAGGCCGAAGGUUUGUGUACUGCCUGCCUGGUCUGAAGAAGAGUUAAAUAAUCCCAGUGUUAGAAAGGACCUUGAACUGGUUCAUCUCUCCACCAGUCUGGUGUCUCGGAUUUGACCCUGCGUUGCCCACUCCUGCUGGAUCUUGUCCAGUCGAGGGACAAAACGUCCUGACACCUUCCUGAAGAAUGGGAAGAAAGGAGAUUCUGGAAGCACAGAUUGCAAUACCAUGCUAGAGGCCGAGGAGACCGACGCGAAGGGAUUGCUCC
rnacentral:lncRNA from 1 species